AUGCCGGUAAAGCCACUUUACUUUGCGCUUUUAUUUUGAAGAGUACCUUAGCACUUCCUCUUUUAUUGUGUCAGACUUCCUGUUCUGUUCUCAGUGAAACGACACAAACACGUUGCUUCAGAACUGGCUAAGAGAUGUGCAUGGAGGAGGUUGGCUAGCUGGUUCAGCAUGAUUAGCACCCUUGGAAGCAGAAAGAGUUUUCACGGUGCCAUAUUGUCGGUGGGUUAAAAGAGGAGAGAAUAAAGUUGGAUCAGUCGAAGCUCUCUGCGUCACGAGUGGUAAUUCCAAGUGGGCAGCUACAAGGCCAUUGUAAUAGGAGACAUUAAACAGAUAGUGAAACUUCUUCUGCUUAUCAGGGAUGUAAAUCCUUAGGUGAAGGCUAAGCAGAAAACAAGGUCAUAAUUCUCUCUGUGCAGGAGGAGGUAUAGCCCCCCCGUGAGAGGGGCCAACAUGUUAGAGUUUGUGGAAUGUUCUUUGUCUGUGUGUCUGUAUAUAAGAUGUAAGGGUGGUGGCCACAAGGCAGAGAUGGUCCUGGUGUUUCACUGGGAUGCUCUCUCCACAUUGCAAUGUGUUUAUUAAACCCACUUCAAAUCAA